AGAGUGAACGCUGGCGGCAGGCCUAACACAUGCAAGUCGAACGGCAGCACAGAGGAGCUUGCUCCUUGGGUGGCGAGUGGCGGACGGGUGAGGAAUACGUCGGAAUCUGCCUAUUUGUGGGGGAUAACGUAGGGAAACUUACGCUAAUACCGCAUACGACCUACGGGUGAAAGCGGAGGACCUUCGGGCUUCGCGCAGAUAGAUGAGCCGACGUCGGAUUAGCUAGUUGCGGGUAAAGGCCCACCAAGGCGACGAUCCGUAGCUGGUCUGAGAGGAUGAUCAGCCACACUGGAACUGAGACACGGUCCAGACUCCUACGGGAGGCAGCAGUGGGGAAUAUUGGACAAUGGGCGCAAGCCUGAUCCAGCCAUGCCGCGUGUGUGAAGAAGGCUUCGGUUGUAAAGCAUUUGUAACGGAAGAAAAGACUUUCGGUUAAUACCCGGAAGUUUCGUAGACGGUACCGUUAAGAAUAAGACAACCGGACUAACUUACGUGCCGAGCAGCCGACGGUAAC
rnacentral:rRNA from 1 species